UGUAAAGUGGAGGAAGAUGAGCACAGAUGUUAGCUCAGGGCUAAUCUUCCUCAGCGGAAAAAAAAAAAGUUUCUUGGACUAUUCACAGCGGGAAAGGCAAAGUGAGCAUUGUAAGAUAUUUUCAAAUAACUGAAAAAAAAAAACUAGAAAUGGAUUUUAAAUUCUGAUCAUUAUUAUUCCGUCAAGUAACAAUGGAAAGAGUCAAAACACAGCCCAAGUUUAGCAUAACAGUGUAAAUGAGGAGGGCAGGCUCUCACUACAUAAAGCCAGGCCAGCAGGAGACGUAGUGUGGUCUAGCCCAGAGUAGAAACAGUGGAAGUAGGGCCCUGGCUUCUACCUCACCCUCUACUACUAAGAGCCUUUGUAAUUUUAAACAACUGACUAAGCUGUGAAACACUCUCUGGUGCUUUCAGAUUAGAAAUAUGCACAUGGUUGUCAGUUAAUACAAAAUUAUCAACAUUUAUUACAAUUUGGACGUUAACUUUAAGACAUACACUAUUUAGAGCAAACAGAAAGUUGAAUCAUUAAGGAAAUAAAAAGGAAGAGAAAUUGCUUUAAUGCCAUAAAUACAAAAUAAGACAGAGGGUAAAUUGCUUUAGCCAAAGUCCCUAAGAACGGUGAAAAAUAAAUACCGAAGAACCUGGUUUCAACUUGCUGUUACUCAGCCUUCUCUAUUUGCACAAAUCUACACGAGCAAAAUAUAUGAAGCUAGUUAAACUCAAAGGUCAGGAUUUACUAUUUGUUUACUGGCAUAGAUGCUGAGGAAUGCCUCAUGGAAAACACAGCAGGCUAUCUGAAACUUUUCAUCUUUACAAACUUCAGAAGCUAGCAAAUUCUUGUCUUCUAUCACAUGUUGACAACGUGGGCAUUUGAACAGCUUUCUUGUGUCCAAUUUUCAAACACAAUAGAAAGAUGCAAGACCUUAAAAUGUCCCUACACUCGAAGAGCAGAGUCUAGUCCCAUGCUGCCAAAUAAGAUAGCAACUAUUUUGGACUCUCCACUGACUUUCAUCUUUUCACAAUAUUGUUGGCAUUUCUUCUUACAAAUAAUCACCAAUACCCACAAUUCUGAAUAUCCUGCCCUACUCAUUUAUCUAUCUAUCCAACCAUCAUUCAUUCUAACCACCAUUUAUUGAAUACCAACCAUCAUGUACAACACCAAUAUCUCUGGCAUCUAGCUCAAGGAUCAGCAAAAGUUUUCUGUGACAUAAAUAUAUCAGAAGCAGUAAAUAUUUUAGGCUUUGUGGGCCCAUGAUCUGUGUCACACACUCUUCUACCUGUUUUGUUUUUUUUUUUAACAACUCUUUUAAAAUAUAGAAACUGUUCUUUAUAGCUUAGGGGCCUUACAAAAACAGGCCAAGGUUUGGACUUGGCCAACUAUCCAUGACUUAGUGGAUGCCUGAUAAGUACUGUUGAAUAAGAUUUAGUCCUUUCUCUCAAAAAAGCUCACAAUGCAGUGGAAGAGGGAACAUGUAAACUAGUGAUUUAAUAGCAGACACUAUGUGCUAUGAAUGAGGGAUGCAUAAGAUAAUAAUGGGGUAACGCUCAAUAAGUGCUAACAAGUGCCAGGCACUAUUCUAAGUGUUCAACACAUAUUAACUAAUUUACUCUCAAAAGAAUACGCCUAUAAGGUAAGUUCUAUUGUUACUCCCAUUUUACAUAUGAGAAAACUGAGUAAUACAGAGAUAUUUAGUAAACUGCCUAAGGAGACCUAUCAGCAGAGUGAGGCUGAAUUUUUACCCUGCAGAGUCUGCCUCUGGAGCAAGCCCUGCAUUUGACCUGUCUGCUAGGAUGCUAACGGGGCAUGGAAGAGGUGCAACAUCCAAAUCAGACAACAAAGUCAGAGCAGGCUUCCCUGAGAACGAGAAACAAGUGAAACAAAGAAUAUGGAGGUGGAAAAGUAGAGAAAAAGGUAGAACAUGGGAGGGAAAGAGGUGUGCUAUUCAUGCCAAGUCUGGGAAACAGCCGAUGGUUAGAGUGAAGAGGGGAGGAAGCUUUGGGAGGUAUGGUUAGAAAAGGGGGCAAGGACAACGUCAUCAACUUCCUGGGAUUGAAGUGUCAACUGCAACUUAAAAUAACUUGAAGUUUUGUCCUUAAAGCUGUGUGGUUUUACACAAGAGUAAUAUAAUAAAACAACGUUUUAGUAGUUUACUUAGCUGUACGAAAACAGGUUACAGGAAGUAAGUCUGAAAACUGAACCAUCACAUGACCCCAAGGCAAGAGCGGAGGCUAGAGCUAAGGCAGUGGCCAUGAGAACGGAGGAGGAAAGGCUGUGAACAAUGUGGAGAAGGAAGUAAUUUAAAUGCUCACUUGAGUGAAGGAGAUGAGCAGAAAGACCGCCAGCUUCAGGCUUGAGCCACUGAGCAGGUGGUGGUGCCCCAGAGGAGAACGUGAGGACAAGGGGGCAGGAUGUGGGAGUGAAGGAAAAAGAAUGAGUCUGCAUAUGUUUAAGUGGAUGUUCCUUUGGGAGAGGCUCAGCAAACAGUGAAUUCACAGGUAUGGAAUAAAGAGGAAAAGACUCCAUCUUCUUCCUGGAUCAAAGGAUUCGUCAAUAUACUCCUCACUCCAGAAUGACCCCACACACGAGGCAAUCCUCCAUCUCACUUACAAACUGUCGCUUCUAUCCCUCACCCUAACCAUACCACAAUUUUCUUAGGCCUCCACAGUGACGAAAAACUGUCCUCAGAUGAAUGCCAAGGAUCCCUAUGUCUUCAAGCUUGGACUUUCUUUAUUCAACCGCAUUCACUGUUUGCUAAUCGAUCACCUUGCCUGGUGUAUGAAAGAAUGCCUGCAAAGGACAGGAGCACAACGAAAAAAGAUACCUAAAAAAGAUCUGUGUUAACAGUUUUGUUGCAGACUCUAAUCUAAGCAAAUGCUCAUUACAUUUUUCGUCCCCUAGGAUGUGGGGCGGAAGACAUACAGAGUGGAAGGUCUCAUCCAUUAAUGACAUUUGUUACUCACCGAUACCUCCUACCAGAUACCUGAGAUUAGUCAUGAACAAUGUGCUUGCUCCUGGUUCAGGCUCAAUUAUUUAAGAGAAGACAGAAGAAAGUUUAACAACUUAUUUUAAACUAUGACUUUUACACCGUGGUCAAACCCAGUAAUUUAUUUGACUGUGACAUUUCUAAAUCCCUAAUGUUAUUGUCCUGAGCAUGUAAAACUGACAGGAGGGAGGAAAGCAGGAAGAAUCAGAGAAAAUGCACUGCAACUUCAGGUUCUUGUCCAUCGCUAUUCCUUCCGCCCAGGCACAUCAGUAAAGCCUAACAGAGGUCAUGCCAGCUCUUCCCAUAGAAGCCCAUGAGAGCCCCCAGUCACCUUCCAACAACGCCACACUUCUGUCAGGCAUAAGGGAAGGACAGAAGCUGCUAGCCCUGAGGCCAAACAAAUAAAAAUCAAUGUUUUCAACAACAAAUCUAGGAUGUAAUCCUCUUAACGCAUCUUAAAAUGCCUGAUUUACAAAUAUUGGAAGGCCAAAUGUUUUCAAGAAAGACCGACUGCCAAUUUCAGUGUGCUUGGCUCAAAUGGGACAAAAUUUGCCUAUGUAAACGUAAGUUCUCAAACUUUCCCAAACAGCAGUAAACAGUGGUCCUAAUGUUCAAGCAGUGGAAUCUCCCAUGCUCUCAAAAAGAGAGAGCAACAAAGCUCUCAGCAGACUUGGAAGUGAGACUGAGUUCUAAAUGUGGUUUGAUUUAUUUUGAAAUCUUAAUGAACAGGGAACAUAUUUAAGCAUCCCCCCUCAACUUCUCCAAAAAAAAAGGGAGCAUUAUCAAGCUAAAAAAAGAGAGAAAGAAAGCAAUAUUUACUACUUUGGCAUUUUGCUGAAUUAGUGAAACAACCCACCAGAAAAAGCAUCGAUUCCUGACGAACAUAUACAAGAACACAGGAAACAAACAAUAACGGCAAGCACUCCUAGUUUCUUCAGAAAAACCCUAUGCGGUUCACUCUAACAUACUGCAGGCAAUCCUGUCUUACAGCAAGCUUGCUCUGCAAAGGGCCAGAAAGUAACGUUUCAGUCUUUAUGAGCCAUUCACAGUCUCGUCACACUCCUCAGCUCUGCCACUGCAGCACCAGGGCAGCCACAGGUAUUACCUAAAACCAUGUGUGGUUGUGUCCCAAUAAGACUGUAUUUGUGGAUACAGAAAUUUCAAUUUCAUAUAACUUACAUGUCUUAUGAUAUACUAUAUAUUUUUUUCCAUUUAAAAAUGUAAAAAUCAUUCUUAACUCACGGGCCAGAUUUGGCCGGACUACUGUAUGCCUUUCACUGCAUUAUUUUCAUCAAUGUUUACAGAAAUAAAAAUUUACAAAUGUCCAUAGAAAUAUUUUCUUUCUUGAUAUUUCAUUAAUUUCUUUUCUUCAAUCCCAGUUCAAGCCUUCCAUAGGCACUUUCUGAAGUCCUCAUUUUAUCAGAUUCCUUCCCUCUCUGCACACUCCUCUCCCCAAGGUACAGCUUGCCAGUCCCUUGGAUGUUU